CCCUACGGGGCGCAGCAGGCGCGAAAACUCUACAAUGCAGGCAACUGCGAUAGGGGGACAUCGAGUGGCACCCACCUUGGGUGUCUGUCCAACCGUCUAAAAAACGGUUGUUAGCAAGGGCCGGGUAAGACCGGUGCCAGCCGCCGCGGUAAUACCGGCGGCUCGAGUGGUGGCCGAUAUUAUUGAGUCUAAAGGGUCCGUAGCCGGCUUUGCAAGUCCUCUGGGAAAUCCAGCGGCUUAACCGUUGGGCUUCCAUGGGAAACUA
rnacentral:rRNA from 1 species